GACGAACGCUGGCGGCGUGCCUAACACAUGCAAGUCGAACGGGGUUACGAGAGCUUGCUCUUGUAACUUAGUGGCGAACGGGUGAGUAACGCGUGAGAAACCUGCCUCUCAGUGGGGGACAACAGUUGGAAACGACUGCUAAUACCGCAUAACACUUUAGUACCGCAUGGUACAGAAGUCAAAGCUUUAUGUGCUGAGAGAUGGUCUCGCGUCUGAUUAGCUAGAUGGCGGGGUAACGGCCCACCAUGGCGACGAUCAGUAGCCGGUCUGAGAGGAUGAACGGCCACAUUGGGACUGAGACACGGCCCAGACUCCUACGGGAGGCAGCAGUGGGGGAUAUUGCGCAAUGGGGGCAACCCUGACGCAGCAACGCCGCGUGAAGGAUGAAGGUUUUCGGAUCGUAAACUUCUUUAAGUGGGGAAGAUAGUGACGGUACCCACAGAAUAAGCCACGGCUAACUACGUG
rnacentral:rRNA from 1 species